GGCAUCUGUCUGAGCUGGGGGAAAACACAAAGUUAGAAGACUUCUUGAUGGACAGCUUUGGGAACCUCCUGGGUGCUUUCCAGACCGGUCUCUCCCCGCUGCAACCACCGAGUCUUCCCCUGAAACAUCAGAGAGAUGCAGCGAUUACAGUCUUUGUUACAGUCUUCCGUAAUGCAUAUGAGGACACCUCUAAAGUCUCUGCCUAAUCUUGGGGCCAGCCUGACAGCAAGGACUGAGGCUCUGACUCCCCUCUCGUCAGCCCAUUUGUCAGCUGGAAGAAGCUACAGAAGAAGAAACCUUCGGCCCAUUUUCCCUGCAUGAUUUCAGGGUCUUAAGUCCUUGAGGGGGAAAUGUGGUAGGCAGUUAGUCAUGAGCGGGCAGCCCUAAGAGAAAAGCGAAAGGCUCAUCCAGCCCCAGGUGCCAGGAGGUUGAGGCAAUUUGCUAUCUUCCUUGAGGCCUGAGAGAAGUACACAGGGAUGAUUCGUAGAUAUUUCUCUUAU